UAAAGCGCGCGUAGNCGGUUUUUUAAGUAUGAUGUGAAAGCCCACGGCUCAACCGNGGAGGGUCAUUGGAANCUGGAAAACUUGAGUGCAGAAGAGGAAAGUGGAAUUCCAUGUGUAGCGGUGAAAUGCGCAGANANAUGGAGGAACACCAGUGGCGAAGGCGACUUUCUGGUCUGUAACUGACGNUGAUGUGNNAAAGCGUGGGGAUCAANCANG
rnacentral:rRNA from 1 species